rnacentral:rRNA from 1 species
GAUGAACGCUGGCGGCGUGCUUAACACAUGCAAGUCGAACGGAAAGGCCCAAGCUUGCUUGGGUACUCGAGUGGCGAACGGGUGAGUAACACGUGGGUGAUCUGCCCUGCACUUCGGGAUAAGCCUGGGAAACUGGGUCUAAUACCGGAUAGGACCACCUGUUGGAUGGUGUGGUGGGAAGUUUUUCGGUGUGGGAUGAGAUCGCGGCCUUUCAGCUUGUUGGUGGGUGAUGGCGUACCAACGCGUCGUUGGGGAGGCAGCCUGUGAGGGUGUACGGCCACACUGUGGCAGAGAGACGGCGCAGAGACCUACGGGGGGGAGCAGAGGGGAAUAUUGCGCAAUGGGCGCGAGCCUGAUGCAGCGACGCGGCGUGGGGGGGGACGGGCUCCGCGUUUUAAACUCCGUUCUCGCCUGACGAAGCGCUUUUGUGACGGUACCUGGAGAAGAAGCACCGGCUAACUACGUG